CCAAGGAUGUUUUCAUUAAUCAAGAACGAAAGUUAGGGGAUCGAAGACGAUCAGAUACCGUCGUAGUCUUAACCAUAAACGAUGCCGACCAGCGAUUAGGAGACGUUGAAUACAAAACACCACCAUCGGUGCGGUCGUCCUUGGCGUCGGUUUCGGCCGGCGCGGGGGUGGCUUAGCCCGGUGGCACCGGUGAAU
rnacentral:rRNA from 1 species